GUCUAUAGAACGACAACAAUUCCGAAGGAAAGGCAGGCGGGUGGUGGGUGGGGUGAAGGGGGUCUGCCAGGUCCUCACAAAUGGGACCAGCUUCCCAAAAGCAGGCAGGACCCCCUCGGUAGUGCUAAUGAAAAGUGUAACUUUAGCCUCCCAGCUGUACGUCUCAAUCCAUAAUCCUUCCCCAAAAUCCUGGCCGUAGAGACGCCUCCCGGUCCCAUGGCGCUCCCCAUCCUGAGCCGGGCUGGGGCCUGAUUUAGUUCUGUGUCCACCUCGCAACCUGAGCAUCGUCUCGGACUCCUUUCCCCUAUUUGGGAGAGCAAUUUGCAGCCCGGUCCCGUGGACCCCUAACUCCCCCUCAAAAGCCACCACAAUGCCACUGCUGUGGUGACCCUGUGUGACAAGAACACGGACAUUUUGACUGGAACUUGGGUUUUCUCUGUGGAUGGAUGUGUCCCUGCAGUGUGGAGGUCAGAGUCCAGACAGACACAGUCAGACGCAUGGCCACAGUUUGGUACGCAGAUUCACAGAGGCAGGAUGAGCAAACAAGAUUGGUCUGAGCUGACCUUUAACUUUGGCGACGGCUGACGGCGGCCUGGCGCCCGAUCAAUGAACCGAGGAAGCGGCCUGCGCGUCCCCUGCUCUGUUCACCCGGGCCAAGAAGGUGCGGACGCUGCCAGAAGCAUCGACACCAAGCGGAGCCGUCCAAAUUGACUCUCGGCCGUUCCGCAGGGUGACGGUUUGGACGCUGCGCUGCCCUCCCAUGUAGGAAAGGACGGCCAGAAGAGAGGAUCUUUCUCUGCGGCUAAAUAAACUACUUGUGAAUGUCACACUCGAUCUGAACAAGCCGGCUAAAAGAUGACCUGCACUUUAAGUAUGGCUGAACCAUUUGGAAAAAUAAUCUAAUUGUGAUUUUUUUUUCUCUCUCUCAAUGAUUCGAUUGUGAU